AUUGAACGCUGGCGGCAGGCCUAACACAUGCAAGUCGAACGAGUGGCGGACGGGUGCGUAAUGUCUGGGAAACUGCCUGAUGGAGGGGGAUAACUACUGGAAACGGUAGCUAAUACCGCAUACCAUCGGAUGUGCCCAGAUGGGAUUAGCUAGUAGGUGGGGUAAAGGCUCACCUAGGCGACUAUCCCUAGCUGGUCUGAGAGGCUGACCAGACACACUGAAACAGAGACACGGUCCAGAAUCCUACGUGAGGCAGCAGUGGGGAAGAUGGCACAAUGGGCGAAAGCCUGAGGCAGCCAUGCCGCAUGUAUGAAGAAGGCCUUCGGGUUGUAAAGUACUUUCAGCGGGGAGGCGUUAGCCGCAGAAGAAGCACCGGCUAACGCCGUGCCAGCAGCCGCAGUAAUAC
rnacentral:rRNA from 1 species